rnacentral:lncRNA from 1 species
UUUAUUUUCAACUUCUUCUUUCCAAUUUGUUGUGUUCUUGCUCUCUCUGCGUUCGUUUCUUAAGCGUCUUCUUUCUUUUGCUGUGAGGAGUUCCUGUGGUGGUUGUUGUUGGGUGGAGGAGGUGGUGGUGGUGGUGGUUGAGGCUGAGAUUGUGAGAGGGUGGUUGGAGAAGGAGAGAGUGUGGAAGCGUGGUGGUGGAUUCCAUAGCUGAAGCGUAAGCACCCCUUUCAUCUUUCU